rnacentral:rRNA from 1 species
GACGAACGCUGGCGGCGUGCCUAAUACAUGCAAGUAGAACGCUGAAGGAGGAGCUUGCUUCUCUGGAUGAGUUGCGAACGGGUGAGUAACGCGUAGGUAACCUGCCUGGUAGCGGGGGAUAACUAUUGGAAACGAUAGCUAAUACCGCAUAAGAGUAGAUGUUGCAUGACAUUUACUUAAAAGGUGCAAUUGCAUCACUACCAGAUGGACCUGCGUUGUAUUAGCUAGUUGGUGAGGUAACGGCUCACCAAGGCAACGAUACAUAGCCGACCUGAGAGGGUGAUCGGCCACCCUGGGACUGAGACACGGCCCAGACUCCUACGGGAGGCAGCAGUAGGGAAUCUUCGGCAAUGGACGGAAGUCUGACCGAGCAACGCCGCGUGAGUGAAGAAGGUUUUCGGAUCGUAAAGCUCUGUUGUAAGAGAAGAACGAGUGUGAGAGUGGAAAGUUCACACUGUGACGGUAUCUUACCAGAAAGGGACGGCUAACUACGUG